rnacentral:rRNA from 1 species
UACGUAGGUGGCGAGCGUUGUCCGGAUUUACUGGGCGUAAAGGGAGCGUAGGCGGACUUUUUAAGUGAGAUGUGAGAUACCCGGGCUCAACUUGGGUGCUGCAUUUCAAACUGGAAGUCUAGAGUGCAGGAGAGGAGAAUGGAAUUCCUAGUGUAGCGGUGAAAUGCGUAGAGAUUAGGAAGAACACCAGUGGCGAAGGCGAUUCUCUGGACUGUAACUGACGCUGAGGCUCGAAAGCGUGGGGAGCAAACAGG